rnacentral:rRNA from 1 species
UACGUAGGGAGCAAGCGUUGUCCGGAAUCAUUGGGCGUAAAGCGCGCGUAGGCGGCUGGGAAAGUCGGAUGUGAAAAUCCGGGGCUCAACCCCGGACCUGCAUCCGAUACUUCCCGGCUAGAGGUAGGUAGGGGAGAUCGGAAUUCCUGGUGUAGCGGUGAAAUGCGCAGAGUAUCAGGAGGAACACCGGUGGCGAAGGCGGAUCUCUGGGCCUUACCUGACGCUGAGGCGCGAAAGCUAGGGGAGCGAACAGGG